GGUGCGGGCUGGAGUGUCGUGACAGCGAGGGCGACGGUGGCACCGAGGCCGGCCGUGGGUAGCGGUACCCUUGGGCCUGCAUACGGGAAUAUGGGUGCAAACCAGGGUGAGCUGAGGACCUCGCAGUCCCACCCAGGCAUCCAGCCACCUCUAGGCCUUCCCAUUCCAGGAGGGACCCCCAGCCCUUUAGCUCCUGGCUAAGCAGAAAUCCAGCGUCCACUCACCGCAUCUGCCUCGCUGGGCUCGUAGGUGAAGUGCUCUGGAAAGGCCUUGGACAGCGCCAUGUGGCGCGCAGACAUAUAGUACUAGGGGAAAGGAGGGGAGGGGGCAGAGGAUGUGAGAGCCAGGCCCCACCCCCAGGCAGAUGAUGGGGCUCCUGGCCAUACCCUUUAUGCAGAUGAGCAUACCCUGCUGCACCAUUGGGCCUGCCCCAUGCAAAUAAUCCAUCUGACUCCACCCCUUAUGUAAAUAAGCAGAUCUAUGAAUGGAUAGUUUCUAAGCCACACCCCUCAAACAGGGGCCGAAUUCUCAAGUCAGGCACCUCUUUGGCCAUACCUUUAUGCAAAUGAGAAUGCCUGACCAAUGUUCUUUUUUUCUUUUUAAACAGGGUCUUGCUCUGUUACCCUAGGAUGGAGUGCAGUGGGGUUGAUCAAGGCUCACUGCAGCCUCAACCUCCAGGGCUCAAGAGACUCUACCACCUCAGCCUCCCCAGUAGCUGGGACUACAGGCACGCACCACCACACUCGGCUGAUUUUUUUUUAAAUUUUUAGUAGAAAGAAAACGUUGCCCAGGAUGGUCUCUUAACUCCUGAGCUCAAGCGAUCCUCCCUGUUAGGCCUCCCAAAGUGCUGGGAUUACAGGGAUGAGCCACCACCGCGAUCGGCCUGGUUCAUUGCUUAAAGGGACAGCAACUGUUACAAGUAGGAUGAGACCCUUCACCCUGCACCAAAGACCCAGAGCCAGGAGCGGCUGAUUCCCCAGAAGAGGGUGAAGAAGCUCCCUGCUUCCCCUUCUGCCACGACUGAGUUUCCUGAGGCCUCCCCAGCCAUGUGGAACUCCCAGGCCUCACUCUGAGCAGAUAGUUGAGCCGGGCCAAGGCCUCCAGGAAGACGUCGGCACCCUUGUUGGAGAACUCAUAGCGGCCGGCGAUAAAGAAGUACAAGGUCUUGUCCAAGUUGAAGUCCAGAUGCCUAAAGAACCCACAAGGCAUGGUAAAGCCCAAAGCCCUCACCCGCUAGCCCUGGCCUCAAAACUACAAAU